ensembl:snoRNA small nucleolar RNA SNORA44
CUGCAUUGUUUGUCAGUUAAGAUUUCUUUCAGGGUCUCCAACUACAUGCAAGAACAAGGAGGAGAGACUUUGGCAGCUAAGCCCCGUGUGCCGAUGGCUGUCACUUGCCUCUCCUAUAAGC